AGAUAACUCGCGAAAUAUAAUAGUCGGAUCGAUACGAUCGGAAUUCGAGGAUCAAAACCUAUCGCGUUUAUAACGAACGACCGUGUAACCCGGGCCAGCUGGAACAACCAAUUUCCUCCUUUAAUCGAAAACGCGCAAUUACACUCGAUUACCUUUUUCCCGUGGAAUAAACAAUAAUCGUGCAACCUGGGAUUCGGUAUCGGUCUUACCUGAAACAGAGAAACGAAGGAACAAUUUAAUACGAUGAUCAAUCGGUUGAAACGAGGACGAUACGAAAGGCGGACAACGGGUUAAAAGGAUAUCAUAAAACGAACACGAAUAAUUCAAGUGAACUUUAAGCUUCAGAUUAGUAUAGACUGAGUAUUAUUUUAUGAUACUUUUAUGUCAUCAAAUCUUAUCCGACUAUUGAUGUGUCCAAAUCGAACAUUUAAUAUUCAACGUAAAAUGAAGUUCACCGUUACUAGAAUGUCAAAUGAAACGGCCAUAAACGUUCGACAAAUAUGGACGAAGCAAUUACCGAUUUUCCAGUGAAACACGAGCAGGAAUAUCGGGAACGGAGAGCAAAUCAGUUGCGCGUCAUCCGGAACACGAACGGAGCGGAUGAAAAGAUGCAAACGUGUACGCAGGGAACCAGUAAUUUGCCGUAUCGAUUGGCAUCGAUCUCGAUCGCGUGAAAUCGAAGGGAUCGUAACCGUGGCCACGGUUAAAUGAAAACAGCUACCGACGCCGUUGAAAAUACACACUCUGUUACACGAAGGGGAGUUAGAUCGUUUCGAAAAACCGACCCGUAAAGCAUUAAUUAGGUGACUUCCGCGCCGAAACUCGUCGGCCCUCGUAUGCACCGAGGAUACGCAUAAAUUUGUAAGCUGCGAGAAAGCAACGUGUACACCUCGAUCGAUCUCCCUUUCAGUACGAACAAGAAUGAUUCACGAAAUUAAUGUACCAUACAAUUACCUACUUGUACCAUCAAUAGACAUGCGUCUUAAUUACCCUCAAAUAACGAACCAUGGAGAGAGCCCCAAUUUUAAUUUCAUUUUCUAUUUCAUAUCACUUUUAUUUUCUACAUUUUACAAUCCUCCAAUAUAUGAAAUUCUUUCGUUUAAGAAUAUUUGUCUUAAAAUAUUUAUUAUUAGUACGGUCGAGUGAUAAUUUCGAAGCGGAACAGUUACUCUGUAAUCAAAAUUUCAUUCAUAAAUCAGAUACUUCUUUUCUUAGAUUUAUUCCUCGAUAAAAUACAAUGUAGACAAUCUUUUUCUCGCAAGAAAUUUUUUGUUUCAAUCAUAUUUGCGGAUUUAUGCGAGCAUAACAUUUUAAUUCCCGCUCGAACGAGGCAUUUCAUUAAUUAUAAUACAAUUUGAAUUACAAAAUGAUCAGAAACGAAAGAUUUAAAAAUAAGCAAUUUCAACAUGAUUAUAAUCUUAUUAUGUUUGAAAGAAAUGUAUAGAACAGAGAAUAUUCCACGUGCAUUUGAAGGAAUCUUUAUCUUGGAAUCUUUGUAAUUAUUCGCUUCCAAACACAGGGAGUCAUUAAUAAAGCUGUUCGCUAUAAUAUACAUCACAAUCUCGUGGCCAUUCUAUUAAAGCUUUAAUCGGACACAGUGAAUUUAUUGCGAGGCGAGAACGAGCAAUCCGCGAGCAGUUUCACGAAUAACUGUAUAAUUGCUGCGUAACGACGGUGUAAUUGCCACUGGUUGUUAACUACGACACCGUGCGUCCAUAUAAAUAACAAAGAAAUCCCUUAUCCGCACACCAGUUACAAUCACGCGAACGCGGUGAGCGAAAAAGCUUUUGCCUCCUCUCGUUGGCAAAUUAUAAUAAUGGUUUAACCAACGGUUUACAGAUUUCUGUCUCUCUAAUGAUACAAUCUCUCAAAGGUAUCAAGCAAAACACCCGAGGCUAAAUAAAAUAAUGGAAAUGAUUACUAUAUCUGCAGGUGUUUCUAAUUAACACGUUGAAAAUAACAAGAAGCAAUUAUUCAAAUUGAUAAAUAAAAACUUUUUAAAUUCAGAAAACUUGCAUCGUAAAGGUUUAAUGAAUCUAUUAUAAUUUGUCUAAAUUAAUCAUAUUCAGACUGAAACAUCUAGCAGAACUAAAUAAAAGCAGGCAUAAUGUUUACCCAUUAGGUCUGAUGAAAGAACAGACAGUGAAAGAGGAGAAUAAAAAAACGGAAACGUACGAAGCAAAAGGAAGGUGUUCGAAAAUAAAUGAGCACGCGUCGUCGGGCCAGGAAGAGAUCGGCACCGGUGAUACGAUGUCUGGAAUAAAACCAUAAUAUUGGGAAAGAAAAAUGUAAAACAGUGCCAUUUAAAUGCGUGUAACGAGAGGGUGUGCGUGGAAAAGAAAGGGUGACUCGUAGAAGGACAGGGGUAUUCGCGAGAUCAGGGGUCACCGGACACGAGGCGAUCGCGUCAGAUUAAACCCUUUCAUGUGUGAUUCAUGCCGGCAGGGAAAGUAAAUGAGUGCAACUGCACCGGUACUUCUCCUUCUCUCUUUUUUUUUUCUGCUCCUUCUUCUUCAACCUCCUAUCGGCGACCAUGUUUCCCCCUUAUUGCACCAACCCUUUCACUUUUUUUCACGUGCAGCAAUCGCGGCAUUAACUUAUCGCCGGUCACACGCAUGCUGAUCGAGUCAGGGGAACGCAAACCCGUAGCCUUUUCUUCAGGAUAAAUUAACCGACGCUUUGUCUGUCACGGCUAUUCUAUUGUUACAAAGCAGUCGUACUUUCACGAAAUUGAAUAACUAAAAAUUUCUUUAAAAUAGUCAAUUUCUAAGGCUGUACGAAAAUUCGGGUCUGACUUAGGUCUGGAAUUCUUUCCAGAUUUAGGGGGGAUCCCGAAAAUUUGUCUAGCGCCCAAAAAUUCGGGUACCCGAGCCUCGAGACGGAUCAAGCCUGAUUGUGCAGGACUCGGAAAGUUCGUCCAACAGAUAUUUAUUCGGAUCCUGAAAUCACGGGUACCCGAGUUGAUAUUCGCAUCCCGAAAUUACGGAUAACAAAAUACGUUGGAUGAACUUUCGAGGACCCGUCUGACCCGACUCGAAGCUGGGGUACCCAAAAAUUCGGGUACCAACACAUUCCUAUUAAUAUCAGUUAAUAUUCUAUUUUUAAUCGAAAUUGAUUUUUUACAAUUUCAAUGGCCAAAUACCUAAAGAAACAUGGCUCAACACUGAGAACGAAGACGAUGUAAAAUUAAACGGUUUAUUGGCGGGUAUCGAAGCAUAACUGAAAGCCGAAGAGCCGGCUUGAAAAGGCACUGCAGGAAGGCCAUAUAGGAGAGGCUCAUUAGCUGUAGACAGUUGACAGGACAAAGCUGAAUUGUUCUUUCCCUCUCUUGUUACCGAUCCCCCUAUCACCCUUCAGUCAUCUGUCAUCUACGAAUUAAGGAUCUUGCUUCUCGAGCUCGAUGUCAGACAACGAUCCAAAUCAGGUAAAAGACACUGUCAUCGUGCUUUGCUACCGAUGUUCUUCCCGUCCAUCUCUUCUCCCUAUUCUUAUCUAUUAUUUUUUGUCCCUGAUAUAUAUAUAUAAAGACGGUCUUCAAAGAAAAAUAGAUGAGAUCUUUUCUUGUUUCUCUCACUGUGCUUUUUGUUUCUCACCUGAUCCGUAGAGAUAUUAUGACACCUUUGGUCAAAGCCAUUUUAGUGUUAAAAUUUUCUACUUUACUAAAUAGUUAAAAAUGUAUAGUAGGAUUUAUCAAAAAUUUACAUCUCAUUAAAGUUUAUUCGAGUCGAGAAAUGUCUUUCGAUCGAGUGGAAUGUACCUGUCGCGGUUGAAACAACGUCGCAUAUCACGAUUAAAAUGUAAAUCCGUGAAACAACACGAGCCAUUGAUAAAGCGUGACAAUUUGCAUUGUCAAUAAACGGUAAUGAACAAUCUCGAUCGUUUUCCAUCCGUUAGAAAGCUAUUUCAUAUAAUAUGGAACGAUAUGCUGCUCAACUUUUCAGUGAAUUCGAGCCUCAAAUUAGCAUUAUUACGAGUUCAUUACUCUUUAAAAUCUACUGCUGUUGUGGUGUAAUUAAAUUUCACAGCUUGAUAACGAUGACUUUAAAGAUUGCACUGCUUGUUGCGCUGAAUUAGUAUUCGACCCAAAUCUAUUUUAUUAAUCAAAACAGCGAUAAUUCUGAUAUUUUAUAGCAUUAAUGGAAAUGCAUUGUGUGGCCAAUUUCACCGCUCCUCUAUGUGUUAAUUAAUUUAAUUUAAUUAGUUAAAUGAAUAGAAAUAAAGGAGAAAGGAGAUUAUAAAUAAUAAUGGAUUUAUACUGAAUUUAUGUAUCAAAAAUUUAACAUAUAACAGUUUUUAAUUAAAAUAAAUACCAUUUAAAUUAA